AUGGGUUUGAGACGGCCCCUGCACCAGAACCCACACCACGUGCACGAGUGGCAUAAGCCUGUCGCCCUGCACCAGGGCCGCCCCCGGGAGACCAUCAACACCUACACAGAGGCUGUGCAGACGGUGGAUCCCUUCAAGGCCACAGGCAAACCCCACAUUCUGUGGGUGGCCUUUGCCAAGUUUUAUGAGGACAAUGGGCAGCUGGACGAUGCCCGUGUCAUCCUGGAGAAGGCCACCAAGGUGAACUUCAAGCAGGUGGAUGACCUGGCAAGCCUAUGGUGUCAGUGCGGGGAGCUGGAGCUCCGGCACGAGAACUAUGACGAGGCCCUGCGGCUGCUGCGGAAGGCCAGGGAGCUGCCUGCCCGCCGGGCCGAGUACUUCGACGGCUCAGAGCCCAUGCAGAACCGCGUGUGCAAGUCACUGAAGGUGUGGUCCAUACUCACCGACCUGGAGGAGAGCCUCAGCACCUUCCAGUCCACCAAGGCCGUGUACGACCGCCUCCCGGACCUGCGCAUCGCGACACCCCAGAUCGUCAUCAACUACGCCUUGUUCCUGGAGGAGCACAAGUACUUCGAGAAGAGCUUCAAGGCGUACGAGCGCUGCAUCUCGCUGUUCAAGCGGCCCAACGUGUCGGACAUCUGGAGCACCUACCUGACCAAAUUAAUCGCCCGCUACGGGGGCCGCAGGCUGGAGCGGGCACGGGACCUCUUCGAACAGGCUCUGGACCGCUACCCACCAAAAUAGCCAAGACCUUGUACCUGCUGUAUGCGCAGCUGGAGGAGUGGGGCCUGGCCCGGCACGCCAUGGCCGUGUAGGAGCGCGCCACCAGGGCCGUGGAGCCUGCACAGCAGUACGACAUGUUCAACAUCCGCAUCAAGCAGGCGGCCGAGAUCUACGGGGUCACCCACACCCGCAGCAUCCACCAGAAGGCCAUCGAGGUGCUGUCGGACGAGCAUGCACUUAAGAUGUGCCUGCGGUUCGCGGACAUGGAGUGCAAGCUGGGGGGAUCGACCGCGCCCGGGCCGUCCACAGCUUCUUCUCCUAGAUCUGCGACCCCCGGACGACCGGGGCGUUCUGGAAGACAUGGAAGGACUUUGAGGUACGGCACGGCAACGAAGACGCCAUCAAGGACAUGCUGCCCAUCCGGCAGAGCGUGCAGGCCACAUACAACACGCAGGUCAACUUCAUGACCUGGCAGAUGCUCAAGGUCUCGGACAGCGCCACGGGCACCGUGUCCGACCUGGCCCCUGGGCAGAGCGGCAUGGAUGACAUGAAGCUGUUGGAACAGCGCGCUGAACAGCUGGCAGCCGAGGCGGAGCGAGACCAGUCCCUGCGUGCCCAGAGCAAGAUCCUGUUCGUGAGAAGCGAUGCCUCCAGGGAGGAGCUGGCAGAGCUGGCGAAGCAGGUCAACCCCGAGGAGAUCCAGCUGGGCGAGGACGAGGACGAGGACGAGGACGAGGACGAGGACGAGGACGAGGACGAGGACGAGGACGAGAUGGACCUGGAACCCAACGAGGUCCAGCUAGAGCAGCAGAGCGUGCCAGCUGCCGUGUUCGGAAGCCUGAAAGAAGACUGACCCGUCCCUCCUCCCUUCCCCCAAUACGGCCGUGUUUGUAAAAAAAAAAUAAAAAAUAAAAAAUUUUGGUUUCCAGUGUCUCUGCAAUGGCGGCUCUGGACUCCCUGUUGUUCUUCACUGGUCUCGGCCUGAGCGAGCAGAAGGCCCGCGAGACGCUCAAGAACCAGACUCCGAGCGCGCAGCUGCGCGAGGCCGCUACCCAGGCUCAGCAGACCCUGGGCUCCACCAUUGACAAGGCUACCGGGACCCUGUUACAUGGCUUGGCCUCCCGACUCAGGGAUACCCGGCGUCUCUCCUUCCUUGUAAGCUGCAUAGCCAG